rnacentral:rRNA from 1 species
AGAGUUUGAUCCUGGCUCAGGAUGAACGCUGGCGGCGUGCCUAACACAUGCAAGUCGAACGGGAAUAGGAUGAAACCUAGUGAUUCCUAUUCCAGUGGCGGACGGGUGAGUAACGCGUGGGUAACCUGCCUUGCACUGGGGGAUAACACUUAGAAAUAGGUGCUAAUACCGCAUAAGCGCACAGAACCGCAUGGUUCGGUGUGAAAAACUCCGGUGGUGUAAGAUGGACCCGCGUCUGAUUAGCUGGUUGGUGAGGUAACGGCUCACCAAGGCGACGAUCAGUAGCCGGCCUGAGAGGGUGAACGGCCACAUUGGGACUGAGACACGGCCCAAACUCCUACGGGAGGCAGCAGUGGGGAAUAUUGCACAAUGGGGGAAACCCUGAUGCAGCAACGCCGCGUGAGUGAAGAAGUCAUUCGUGAUGUAAAGCUCUAUCAGCAGGGAAGAAAAUGACGGUACCUGACUAAGAAGCCCCGGCUAACUACGUGCCAGCAGCCGCGGUAAUACGUAGGGGGCAAGCGUUAUCCGGAUUUACUGGGUGUAAAGGGAGCGUAGACGGCGACGCAAGUCUGAAGUGAAAUGCCAGUGCUCAACACUGGAACUGCUUUGGAAACUGUGUAGCUAGAGUGCAGGAGAGGUAAGUGGAAUUCCUAGUGUAGCGGUGAAAUGCGUAGAUAUUAGGAGGAACACCAGUGGCGAAGGCGGCUUACUGGACUGUAACUGACGUUGAGGCUCGAAGGCGUGGGGAGCAAACAGGAUUAGAUACCCUGGUAGUCCACGCGGUAAACGAUGAUUACUAGGGGGUCGGGGGGGCUAUAGCCCUUCGGUGCCGCCGCAAACGCAAUAAGUAAUCCACCUGGGGAGUACGUUCGCAGGAAUGAAACUCAAAGGAAUUGACGGGGACCCCGCACAAGCGGUGGAGCAUGUGGUUUAAUUCGAAGCAACGCGAAGAACCUUACCUGACCUUGACAUCCCUCUGGCCGGUCCGUAAUGGGACCUUCCCUUCGGGGCAGAGGAGACAGGUGGUGCAUGGUUGUCGUCAGCUCGUGUCGUGAGAUGUUGGGUUAAGUCCCGCAACGAGCGCAACCCCUAUCCUUAGUAGCCAGCAGUAAGAUGGGAACUCUAGGGAGACUGCCGGGGAUAACCCGGAGGAAGGCGGGGAUGACGUCAAAUCAUCAUGCCCCUUAUGGCCAGGGCUACACACGUGCUACAAUGGCGUAAACAAAGGGAAGCGAGAUUGUGAAAUGGAGCAAAUCCCAAAAAUAACGUCUCAGUUCGGAUUGUAGUCUGCAACUCGACUACAUGAAGCUGGAAUCGCUAGUAAUCGCAGAUCAGAAUGCUGCGGUGAAUACGUUCCCGGGUCUUGCACUCACCGCCCGUCA